CAAGCGAGCGAGAAAGAUAGAGAGGGGCGAGAGAGGGAGAAAGAAAGAAAGAACAAACAGAGCAAUGAGUUUGAGCAAAUAAUGGCAGUACAAGUUUCCCAUGGAGGGACAUUCUAACUGCAGGCCUAGACUUUGCACUGGGAGAGUUGUGCAUGUAGAAUAGAUGGAUUCUUACUUCACCAUUCAAGACAGAACAUUUCUACGUGAAUCCAAGACACGGUCUUAACUUUCAGAAGUCACGCUUGGAAAAUCUCUGGACAGCUGACAUGGCAAAAACUAUUUCCAUCAUGAGUGAUCGAAAGAGUGGCAUUCUCAAAAGCUUCUGCUUCUGUCUCCUCUUGGGCAGUGCCACUGGGCCUCCUGCGCCUCUCCUGGAUCAUCUGAACAUGGCUCCUGAUCCGCUGCUCUAACUCCCGGUCGCGGGCUGCCCUGGGGUCACACAGGUCAAGGGUAAAAUGAACCACCAUUCCACAAACUAAAGAUUCACUUAGUUACACACCGCUGUGGGUGCUGCAUGUUGUUGGUGGUGGAGUAGUAGCUGGCUAGCUACAGACUACAGAGACCAGUUGCUCGGAGUCCGGACCUGUCUGACCCUGUCCCUAAUCAAGACUCCUGAUGCUUUCACCUGGCUGUGACUGACCAAUGCUCCCUCCCUCCACAUAUACAUUUAUCACACGAUUUCACUCGAUUGAUUGAUUUAAUUAUUUGUUUAUUUAUUUCGAUGGACUGUACGCUGCAAUACAGCUCCUAGCUGCCAAUGUUGUACACCUUGACAAUAAACUAAACCUUAUA